rnacentral:rRNA from 1 species
CGAAAGCCUGACGGAGCAAUACCGCGUGAGGGAGGAAGGCUCUUGGGUCGUAAACCUCUUUUCUCAGGGAAGAACACAAUGACGGUACCUGAGGAAUAAGCAUCGGCUAACUCCGUGCCAGCAGCCGCGGUAAGACGGAGGAUGCAAGCGUUAUCCGGAAUUAUUGGGCGUAAAGCGUCCGUAGGCGGUUUAUCAAGUCUGUCGUUAAAGACUGCAGCUUAACUGUGGGCGAGCGGUGGAAACUGAUUAACUAGAGUGUGGUAGGGGUAGAGGGAAUUCCCAGUGUAGCGGUGAAAUGCGUAGAUAUUGGGAAGAACACCAGUGGCGAAGGCGCUCUACUGGGCCACAACUGACGCUGAGGGACGAAAGCUAGGGGAGCG